rnacentral:rRNA from 1 species
UUGGAGGAAAGCAGGGGAUCGCAAGACCUUGCGCUUUUGGAGUGGCCGAUGCCUGAUUAGCUAGUUGGUAGGGUAAUGGCUUACCAAGGCGACGAUCAGUAGUUGGUCUGAGAGGACGACCAGCCACACUGGGUCUGAGACACGGCCCAGACUCCUACGGGAGGCAGCAGUGGGGAAUUUUGGACAAUGGGCGAAAGCCUGAUCCAGCAAUGCCGCGUGAGUGAAGAAGGCCUUCGGGUUGUAAAGCUCUUUCAGUCGAGAAGAAAAGGUUGUGACUAAUAAUCACAACUCAUGACGGUAUCGACAGAAGAAGCACCGGCUAACUACGUGCCAGCAGCCGCGGUAAUACGUAGGGUGCUAAGCGUUAAUCGGAAUUACUGGGCGUAAAGGGUGCGCAGGCGGCUUUGUAAGUCAGAUGUGA